UAAAAUGCUACAAGAUAUUAUUUCUCUUUUUUAUCAUAAAUAAUCGCAUUUUUACUUUUACAAAUGUCAUUAGAUGCAAAUUCAUGAAUCAUGAUAAAAAAUAAACAUUUAUUAAAUGCAUAUUCUGUACACAAUCUAAAGGAUCAUUUUAAUUCACAGAAUAUGUGUUUGAUUAUUUUGUAAUUUUAUCAAGAUUCAUUGAUAUCGAUGUAAUGGCAAUUUUUAUAUGUCGAAAUGCCAUUAAUUAUGAUAAACAAUUCGAAUAAUAUUUUGAAGCAUUUUAAAUUGCGCGCCAAUAAUAACCAAUCAGAUGCCGAGUGCGACGCCUACGUAUUUGAGUAGAAAGCUUUCGUUGGGAGCACUGCAAUCGAGUCAAUCACCAACUUUUUAACGGAUUUUUGAAGCUUAAUCUCUAUGCAGUUAUAAGAAUUAUUAAAAAAACCAUCUAUAAGUAAUGUUCCAAGGACCAGAAAAUAUUUCUGAAAAAUAUGAUUUUUCUUGUGAAUGCUCAACUUAGGUACGUAAAAAUCCAAUUUUUCUAAUUCUAUAACCUUACUAUCUUUCUUGCACGUGGCUAUUGUGGUUAUUGUUACUUGUUUGAUGUUUUGUGGUAUAGUUUUAUUUAUUUUCUUAUGGGUGACAUUCUACUUAAAGCAUGUCUGAGUUUUUUAUAUUAUCAUUGCCUAAAAUUAGGGAUUAUAAAACGUACUUUCUAAAUGGAUGAUAAUUUUUGUAUAGUGGAAACUUUACUCCAAUACGUUGAAUUUAGUUUUGACAACGAAACCGUAUCAAUUAGUGAAUUUUAUUUGUUCGGGUAGAAAGCCAGUCACAAGAUCUGUGGAUAUUACAUUGUUUAAAUGGAUCAGAUACGACGAUAUUAGCAAGAUAUUUGUUACAAAAUAUAUGCCAGAACCAUAUACAGAUGAAAGAACUGCCAUUCUAUACGAUCUGAUAGAAAAAAAGCAUCUGCGCCAAAAGAUUGGCCUGAAUAUACGAUAAAGAUCGUUGGUCAUGCAGACACAUACAAACAGGGUGUAGAGCGUUUAAACGUUUUGAAAUUUCAAGAAUUUGCUUAUACAUCUGAUCCCGAAGUUGAAGCUUUUGAAAAAGAGCUAUAAUACAGGAACAAAUGAAAAUAAUGAAUCCUUCUAAUGCUGGCCUUGAAGGGAUACUUGAUGUUCCAAAAUUAUCCGAAUCUGAUAUUACAGCUUCCAUGAGCGUACAACCUGAUCCAUUAGCUAUUCGAGGAAAGUUGGAUAAAACCCUUCAGUCAGAUUCCGAUUGAGACACUGAAAAUUAUGUCAGUGAUGCAAUUGCUAAGAAAAUUGCUACAAGUCACGAAGCUUCACAUACGCUAAAAGACAAACCUGGUAAUUGCAAUGUGAAUUCCAUCUAAUUGUUUAACUUGAAUUCAUUUCUAUAUAUUCAGAUUUUAUUAUAGAAAUUGUUACACUCAAGAACUUGAUACGAGAUCAAAACAGUUGAAUGAAGUUUCUCAUUCAAAAGGAGAUUCAAUUUUGUGCAGAAUUCUAAAGGAAAUCAGAACCCUGAAAGCAGACUUGCACGAAAUUUCGGUGGUACAAAAAGAGUUAAAAACGAUUAUGGAGAUAGAAAGAAGUGCGCAAUACGUCAGUAAGAAAACUUUCCAAGAGGAAUAUAAUCUCCAGCUGCCAUUCAAAAAUCUGGAGGAUUUUCAAUUAUUUGAUGGGCGGCUUGCAAAAGACGAAGAAUGCUGUCAACGAUUCGUCAGUUUUUCAUCUUUAUACGUUUCUUACAAUUUGCAUUCCUUUUUUAAUUUUUCGCUUUUUUUGCAUUUUAUGCAAUUUGAAUAUCUUUCUUAAAAACAUUAUUUCCUAAUUUUAAAUUGGACUUCGCAUAGCCUUGAACAAUACGUUAAAAAAGUACACCUUCUGCACACACUUACUAGGUAAUGGACUGAUUAUUACCUUUAAAUACUAAUAAGAGUCAACUACAGAUUCUAUAUUUAUUUGGUGGUGCGGGUAAGCAGAGCAAGUUUCACAAUAAAAAAAAAGAUUAAUUAUACUGUUAGAAAUUCUAAGAUUAUUUUAGAUGGUACAAGUUGACAGGAAAAGAUUUCUAUUUUUGUGAAGGAAAUGUUAAUCA